AUCAAGCAAAUCUAACAGUUUUCACUCCGCGCUUAGCGCCGACUUCUAUUCGGGUGGUACGACGCGUCCGACAGCUAGCAGAGCAUAGACUGGCAAUAACGAACGAAGAUGAAACUUAAUAAGCCGAGGCAUGAACUUAUCAAGUUCGGCCUACUGCAAGCAUCGAUUCAACCAAAACACCGGAAGAGAACAAGAUAGCAAACAACAGCAGAACCGUGACUAGUUCUGCUCGCACGACCUGAUGCAACACGGUUGUAGACGAAGCUUUGAAGUCGUUUGAUUAUUACUCCGCGUUGCCAGCGAUUGUCUACGGGAUGCAACCCUCUUAAGGCUGCUGACAGUAGCACGAGCACAAUUAAGGCCGCACGCAAUCUUUUCGGUGGAUGGUCGGGCACCUUUGCUAUGAGAGGCCGGUCACCUUAACGGUCAGUUAACGCUGCAACAGCUGUCAAGGCACGUGUCUACACUAAAUUUGAUAACAAUGUUGUUACGACUGGAGGUAUUGCUGUGGCAAGCCAAGUCUCUCUAUGAUUUGACUGAAGCGGAAUUGCAGCGACAGAGGGAAGCAAAUGACGAAGGAGCGCGCGAAAUGGGACCGGGGUAAUCCUACAGACUUCGAGAAGGGAUGAUGAUUGUUAAUAGAGUCCGCCUCUUGCCAACUGGCGUCUAUCUGUAGUAAAAAUGCCGCAUUAAGAGUAUAUAUACACCUGUACCGUUACGCGCCGCUUCUAGAAGCUUAUCUUUACGCAUUCGCGCUUCUAGCUAAAACGCACGAAAGUGUAUGAAGCAGCCACCCAAACAGAAGAAAUUGAAAUGUGUCAAUUGCAGGUUUCACUACGACGACAUAUAAAUGCAACAGGAACACUGUAUUCGACGCGUCUCUCUUCUAGGCGUAGCUGUGCGAUUUCAGCUCUAGUUAGUUUCAUCCUGUAAAAAUGUGCACGAAGGAUAGAAACGAAUGGCCACACACGUUUCUACCUAAAGGGAAAAGUGUGCUUGUCCCAUAGACCGACGACAGCAACCCCUUUUUUAGACCCCGCCUUUGAAGAAACCCCGCCGCACCGGACUGAAAAUUGCACCGUGUUUACCUGUGUUUAACAUUUCCUCAUUUGUAGAUGCCAGCUUAAUUAGCAAGUGGCGACCAUGUAGUUGUUCUACAUGCUUAAGAAAAACAAAGCUCGGACGUAUAACCGGCGACUCACUCAAUAUGGCCGCGGCGAUUGAAAGACGAUGCUGACAACGUACUGUAACUAACGGACGAAACGGGAACUCACUUCUGAACAUCAAGUUUCUCCGUUACAUUGCACUAAAUCAAACAACGCCGCCAAACAUAAAUUCGUGUGAACUUUGUUGUGCCUCAAGUUGACGAGAAUGAGCUUUUCUCGAAGACGAAAUAGUCCUACCAGCUUUCGAUAGCUGCGUAAUAACUAGAGGGUUAUUUUUCGCAGUGUGAAAGGUCGACGUCGUGUAUGCUGUAAUGGUUGAAGACCCCAACUUUGAGGUGCGUACUUGGAUGCUGAGACAGUCUUCCAGGAGUGAAAACACGGAUUGAGUAUGAAAAGAUUCGCCUGCUGAACCCGGGGUUUCCCUGCCAUCCAAGGGAAUAAUCUAUAAAAUCCGAGAUCAGUCUGGGCGGUUUAUGCGAUCGCCAGAUUUCAUUCGAAAGGCUUUCUUUGUUAGGACGUAACGAAAGACCACGUUCGUGUGGGAGCCAAAACCAAUAGAUGAGACGAAGGCGUACGUGGCGUGGCGGCUGUAUGUAAAUAUCGAUGGAAUGGAUCACUGGACAUACUUUAAUGUCUCGUUAACUAGAAGCAUUUAAAGUAUUGGACACAUAAAAUGAUAAAGAAUACAAAAUUUAUAGUUGCCGGUCAGAGCAUUGGGCCACUUUGGCGACGGAAAUCUUAAACGCUCGAUCCGUCAACGUCGCACUUAUGGAGCGGAUAGACUUAAGCCUGUUGUUGUUGUUGUUGGUAAACGGCAAUAGUUGUUUAACAGGCAUUCGCUAUAGCUUGCAGCGAAUGAUACUGGCUUAUUUGAUGUGGGUAGACCUAUAUCCGUUUUUAAAUCCAUACCUAUAAGUAGACUACCGCAUCACUGAACAGUACUUACCAACUUCGGCCACCGGCGCACUACAUCGGUCGCUAUUCGAUCCGAUUCUAUUGGUUACUAGAAUCGGUAUGUGAUGUGGACACAUACA
rnacentral:lncRNA from 1 species